CAAAACAUACCAAGACGACACUAGCCUAUACAUGCCAUAUACCAUAUAUAUACAAUUCAAAAAUACCAACUUAGAUGUCUGAUAGCGCAAUGAUAUUUCCGACGAAUUUUGGAUCCGAGCUAGCCUUGAUUCUCUAUAAAAACAUAAGAAAAUAACACGAAAUAAGCUUCAUAGCUUAGUAAGCUCGUAAGUGAAUAAUUCAAUACAUCAAAUACAGACAAUUCAACCAAUUGUACAUAACAUCACCGUAUAUACAAUUACAACAAACCUUUCUCAUGUCUUAAAACAUGAUCAAAUAUCAUUUCAUUAUCUUUCUCUAUUAAAUACUCGAAUAGGUUCUGUACGUACCUGUAUCAUCUCGUACUAACCUCUUUCUCAAUCAUCUGAAUGAUAUUUAUAAUUCAAUUCAACUAGGUCGAAUUCAUAUAAAUCUCAAACAUAUAAACAUUUAACUAACUCAUAUAAUUGCAUAUUAUCACAUUAAGUACUAAACUUACCUUAAUAUUGCAUGAACACAUAACUUCACACAUACCUGAACCAUUCAACUCAAAUUCACAUUUGGAAUUGUUAAGAUCAUACGGAAAUCAUAUAAACCUCGUACAAUGCCAUAUCCCAAAUAUGGUCUUACAUGUUAACGCAUAUCGAUGCCAUUUUCCCAGACACGGUCUUAUACGAAUCAUAUACGAUCCCAAUGUCCCAGACAUAGUCUUACACGAAAUCACACAUCGGAAGUCCUAAUAUUAUGACAUCAAUAUCCAAUACAUUUACUAAGGUUCAUUCGGAGCUUUCGACUUCGUAAUUAAAUCAAUUCAUGCACGAAACCAAUCAUCAAAUGCUCAAAUCAAUUCGGUAAUAUAUAUCCAUAUACGAAUCAAAUUCGGCAGUGUAUAUCUAUAUACAAAUAAAAUUCUACAAUGUAUAAAACAUAUACAUUUAAAUUAAAAAAAACAUUUAUUUACUUAUGAACUUACCUCGUACUCGGAAUUGACGAAUUGGAUCGAUCACUCGAUAAUUUUGCCUUUCCCCCGAUCUAAUUCCGGAUUACUCUUUUCUUGAUCUAUAUGUAUUCAAAAUUAGCUCAUUUAAUCAUAUAAUCAUUCAAUUCAGUCCAAAAACACAUAUUUAAGCCAAUUUUCACAUUGGCCCUAAACUUUCACACUUCUUACAAUUUAGUCCAUAUUUCACAAAUACACAAAAUUGAUAAAAUUCAACAAGACCCAUGCUUGGCCGAAUUACCAUAGUGCCCCUAGUAGCCCAUAUUUCACAUUUAUUCACACAUUUAACACCACAUUUUCAUCUUUUCACAAUUUAAUCCCUAAUUUGCAUUUUCAUCAAAAAUCACUUUAUAAAAUAUGAAAAUCUAACAUCAAAUAUUCAUUUUCCAUCAUCAACAUUCAAAAACAUCAAGCUAACAUCAAUGGCAACUUACAAAUUCAUCAACCAAUUCAUAAAAUUAGGGCAUGAGCUAGCUAGAACACAAAGCAAGGAUAUCAAAAACGUAAAAAUUAUUAAAAACGAGACAAAAAAUCCUACCAUACAAGCUUUGGAAGGUUGGUCGAAUGUUAAAGCUUCUUUACUUGCUUUUUCUUCUUAAAUUUUCGGCAAGAAGAUGAAUGAAGGGAAAAAAAUGGCUUUGUUUUACUUAAUUUAUCAGUAAUUUAAUUACACCAAAUGUCACUCCACUAUCAUCCACUAACUCAUAAAUGGCCUAUUUACCACUUAAGGACCUUUACUUUAAUGUUCUAUAGCUAUUAGACACCUUUAACUUAUAGAACUUAACUUUUACGCUUUACGCGAUUUAGUCAUUUUUAUCGAAUUAAGCAUUCAAACAGUAUAAUUUCUUUAUGAAACUUUCACACAUAUAUAAUCACAUGCUGUAAAUACCAAAAAUAAUAUUAAAAUAAUUUUCCAACUUCAGAUUUGUGGUUUUGAAACCACUAUUCUGAUUUAACUAAAACCGGGCUAUUACACCUACAACCUUGAAUACCAAGCAACUCAAAAACCAAUCGUUCAAUCACUUUAAAACACAAUUUAAUACCUUUAAAACAUGUCAAAACAAUCAUCCUAGUUUCCUAACCAAUGUACCCUCAUAGGUACUUCACAUAUAUUAUCAAAAUAAUCAAAUAAAACACCAUUUAAGCCAAUUCUAAAUUCAUACCAAUUUCAACCCAACUUUGCCUAUAUCACUCUCACUUAUGCAUCAACUUAAACAUUUCAUAUUAAACCUCAACUUAACACGUAUAAUCAUGUAUAUAAAUAACCAAUAUCAUAUUAUAACAUCAUUUACAUUCACUUCCCAGAAUGACAAGCAUAAGACAUCCUAGGUACAUGUUGAUACAAAAAGAAAUAUACAUCACCACGUUUUGAGUUCGGGAUCGUUGAUGGAUGCUGAAUCGACAAUCUGACUUUAACCUAACCUGUGCACGGAAAACAAACCGUAUGCUGAGUUUAAACUCAGUGGUAUUUCUAUAAUCCGAAUGCUUAAAAGUAAAAUAAUAUAACAUACAAUAACUAUAGUCAUACAAUUAUUCAAUUCAUGAAUAAGGUAUUUAUAACACAUUCAAUUUUUAUCAUUUGCUAUCCCAGAUACCUUUUCACAAUAUGAACAUAAAUCAUUUGAACAACAAUUUUGUUCAUUCAUAUUCAAUUCAUAAAUACACAAAUCAUGUGUCUAUAACCAUAUUUCAAAUCACCACUCAAUAACAGUCAUAACACUAUUUUAUUCAAUAACCCCUAUUAACAUGACAUAGACUCGGACGGAUACACAGAUCCAACCAAAACACACCAGUUUGGCACCCAGUGCCUCAUUAGAUAAUUUGAAGCAAUAAGCUGACACUCAGUUCUCAUCAGCCAUGCCGAAGUAAAUUGGUACCCAAUACCUUAUCGAAUUUAUCCGAAGUAAUAAUUCGACACCCGGUGUCUCAUCGACUCGAAGUCGAAGAAAUCCCUGAACUCUUCCAAUCCUAUGGCAUGCCAUCUAUAUCCGACUUAGUCUGAUACAGUUAAUAGGGUUUAAUUUCACUUUUCAAAUACAACUAAUAUUCAAUUCAAUUCAAAUAAUCAAAUAUAUAUAUCAAGUCAAUCAAUAUAAAUUUAAUAAAUUCAUCACAUACUAAAUCAAUCCAUUUCAAUUGCAAAACACAAUAAUUCUCACAUCAACACUUACCAUAUACAUUAAAUUGAAUUAUAACGAUUAACAACUAAUUUCGUAUUAUAGAAAUACAAACUAGAAUUUCCUAGCUACUCAUCGUCGACUUUGUCUUUUCCUUUCUUAGUUGAAGUUUCCGGUACAGUGUUAACUAUGGAAAUUAAAACAAUUAAAAUUCAUCAGUACAAUACAAUUUCACAUUGAAUAUUUCAAUUUUCAUUCAACUUUUGUCUUAAUUCCAAUUUAGUCCCUAAACCGAGACUAACUUUAUUUCUUGAAAACUAAUAUCAUAUUUUCAUUCAAUUUCCACUUUAGAAUAAAUUCAACUCUCUAAUUUCACUCAAAUCCCUAAAUUUUGAUUUUUUUACGAUUUAGCCCCUAAUACUCAAAUUUUAUAAUUUAUUUUACAAUUCAAUCCCUUUUUCAUUUCUAACUUAAAAUUCUAUCAAUUUAAUCCCAAAUACUUAAAUUAUUCAACAUGAACAACAUCUAAAAAUUCAAUAUAUUUUAAAAUUUCAACAUAGAUUAAGUAGUAUUUAAUACUAGAAUUCUAAAAGCAUAAAACUUACAAGAAAAGAGACUAAAUUUACUUACCAAUUAAGUUUUGAACUUUGAAACCCUAAUUUCUCUUUUCUUUCCUCCCUUUUUCUUUUCUUUCUUUUUCUCCCUGUUUUGUUUCUAUUUUGUUUCGUUUCUAUUUCUUUUUGUUUCUUUUAUUUCUUAUAUUUACUUAUUAUAAUAUAUAAUAUAAUAUAUACUUAAUAAUUAAGAUAUAAUAUUGUAAUAUUGUAAUAUAUAAUAUAUAUUUUCAGCUUUCAGUUUUAAGUUUUAUAAAUAUCUAUUUUAUGCGGACUCAUUAAUAAGCAAUGGCAUAAUUGCUUAUUUAGUUUUUUUAAUUUUUUAAAUCUAUAAUUCAACUUUCACCCUUUAUGCAAUUUAGUCUUUAUACCUAAUUUCUCUUAAUUCAUGCAAAUUCACCUAACAAAAACCUAAUUAACCAUACAACUAGCUUCGUAAAUAUUUUUAAUAAAAAUAUUUACGAGUCUGAUUUACGGUUACGGAGUCUCGAAAAUGUACUUUUUGAUACCUGUGACUAUUGUGUAAUUACAGUAACAUCAUAUUAAGUUAAUUUUUUUAUUAUAGUAAAAAUAUAUAUUUAGGAUUUAAAAAAAUCUUCAUUGGAUUGAGUUUAAGUUUGGUAACUAAUCCGGAUGGAUUUUAUAAUGAUGGGCAUGUAUGCACAUUGCACACAUGUGAUGGCAUAAUGAAGUAAAAAAAAAGAUACAUGGGCAACUGGAAAGAAGAGAAUGGUUUUUUGGGUAUUAAGGUAUUUUACUUUUAUUUUUUUUUAUUUUGAGAUUUAUGAAGAUUUAUUAUUUUUAGAUUCAAAACUCCUGAACUUUUCUGAAUUCUGAAAAUUUUAAAUUAAGUUUUUAUAUUUUAAUUUUUAAUUCAAUUAAGUCUUUGAAUAUUAGAAUUACAAUCAAUUAAGUUAUUUCACAAUUAAAAUUAACCGUUACUCUUGUAAUAGUUAUAUUUUCUGAAUGUUUCUACCGCAUAAUAUAUUAGGAUUUUGCCACGUGGCUAAAAAUGAUAUUUUAUAUUUUAAAAAAAUUUCAUAACAAUAUAAAAAAUAAAACUAUAUAUAAAUUAUUAAAUCAAUAAUAUAUAAAAUAAAUAGAAAAUUGUGAAAUUGUUAUAAAUGACUAUAAAUUAUGUAAAUUAUAAAAAUUUUCAGAAAAAAUACUAAAAUUUACUAACAUGAUAAAAUUUUUAAAAAAUAUAUAAAUUAUUAAAGCAAUGAAAAAUUGUAAACUUUAUGAAAAAAUGUUUAACGAUAUUAAUCUAUAUAGAAGGUGCAAAAAAAUACAAGAAAAAUAUAAAACUAUACUUAUAAUUUUAUAUACAACCUCAAGUAUCAAUUUACCUUCUCAACACAUUUUCCGACCUUCAAAAUACUCUCAUGUCAUCCACGAUGGAUAAAGGGGGUCAAGUUUUGGGGAAACCUGCGGUGAAUGAGCACAACGGAUAGCUUCAAGGAUCAAAUAAGUAUUUUAUAACUUUUAAUAAUGUUGUAGUGUUAAUGAUGAUUAGUAUGCAAAUGAAAAAAAGCUAUUUUUUAUAUUUUUAAUCUAUUUAUCAUUUUUAUGUUUCUUAUACUAUUUUUUUAAAAAUUCACAACGCUUAUAUAAUUUUUUAUAUUUUUCGUAAUUCAUAGUUUUUAUUUAUUUUUAUUUUUAUUUUUUGCAGAUUUAUUUUUUAAAGUUAUAUAAUUGUUUUUUUCCAUUUUGAAUAAUUUUUAUAAUUUUCAAUAUUUUUAGAAAUUUUUCGUACUUUAAUUUUUUUAUUAUAAUUUUUAUAUAUUGUUUAUGUUUUUCUAAAUAUAAGAUAUCAGUUUUGCCAUGUUGCACAAUCCUAACGUACAACGUGGUAAAAACAUCUAGAAAAAAGCCAUCGUUAUUCUGUAAUGGUUAAAAGACUUGAUUGAUUACAAUUUUAAUGUUCAAUGGCUCAAUUGAGUUCAAACAAAAUAUAGAAACUUAAUUUAUGAUAAUAAUAAUAAUGGAUGAUCAGAAAAAUAAAAUAAAUAAUAAAUGUCACAUAUAUGUAUAUAUAUACACAUACAUCUGAUACCUCGUAAUCAACGGUGCAUAUAGUAAAUUAUUUACAUGAUGACGUCGACGACAUAAAGUAACAUAUAGCUUGUUAAAAUGAAACUCAUAAAUUAAGCUUAUAUUGUUCUAUAAAUUUUAUACUUUAAUGAAUGUAUAUUUAAUAUUUCUGAGCUUUUAAAUAUAUAUAUAUAUAAUAAUUUAAUAAGGCAGAGUAAUAUUCGAACAAAACAGAGAAGCCUGGAUAGAAGACAGGGUAAAGGAAAGGGAAUCAAGGAGCAUGAAAAUUGCAUCUCAAAAACUAUGUGUAAAAAGCUUGCUGUACAUAUGCUCCUUUUAUAUAUAUAUCUAGAAUAUUUAGGUCAACUAAUUGACACGUAUAGUGUCCAUGUUUUUAUGAUUUUUUUAUUAUAUAUAUUUUAGUGUCCAUUGAUAUUGAGAAAUAAAAAAAGUGUGAUAGACAAGGAGAUUGACUCAACUUGUAACAUGAUUACUUUCACACUAAAUGGAGGCACAAUAAAUGAAAGACAUUAGGCCGUUCGCUUUUUUCAGCAUUCGAAGGGUUACUUUCACGCCCAUCAACUAAUUGAAUUUGGUAAAAGCGUUACACAGAUUUUUUACCAAACAGUAAAUUAAUAUCUUGUUAAAAUUUUCAUUAAUUUUUUUUUGUUUGUUAAAAUCAAUUUACUUAUAUCAAUAUGAUGUAUGAUGUACACGUCGUAUAUCACUGUUCGAUUAUUUCAUCAACUAGAUCAGUUUUUAAUAAUACAAAUGUAUUAAAAUUUUAUUAGAAAAAAUCAAUUUGCUCUUUGAACUAAUUUAGAUGGACUAAUUUACUUACUUAUUGAGUAUAGGAUGCAAAAUGCAAUCUAAUUUGUAGUAUAGAAGCCUUCAUUUUACUUUUACAUUCUCGCAAAGAUAAUUAUAUAUAUCUUAAUUUGUUUUUAAAUUUUUUUAAUUUUAAUUACAAAAUAAUAAAAAUUUAAGCAUAUUUUUCUUUCAAUUUAAAAUUUUAACUUUGUAUUUAAUUCAUCUUUAUAUUAAUUUUUAAAAAGUUUUAUGUAAAAAUCAAUUAAUUACCCUUAUUUAAAAGAUUGCAAACAACAAAAAUAAAUAGAAUAAUAAGCAAUUAAAAUUAAUAAAUAAACCUUAAAAUGUUACUGCAUUUCUUUUAUCAAACUUUAGGAGUAAGUGGGUAUUUUUCAAAGUUGAAGAGAGAAUGUAUUUUUUUUUUACCAAACUUGGAGGGAUUUAAAUGCUUUUUCCUACUUGUUCAAUGAUAAAUUUAUGUAUGUGCAUAAAAUUAACAAAUCAAUUCUUAUAUUUAUAACAAAUAUUUACUUAUAUAAAAAAAAAUUCUUAAAAUUCAAAUAAAACUGUGAUUGGCUGAUAAGUAAAAGGGAAAAAAAGAUAGAUAGAGAUUCAUAUGCAUAAAAUUUUGAGCAAAUAUACCUCAUCUUAAGGUGAAAAAGUUUGAACCUAUAUAUUUUUAAUUAAAUAAAAACAACAGAAAGAACAAACCAUAUUCCUUAUCUAUUAACACAAAUUGAUAAUUGAGGACAGCAUCUAAAAAAUUAUUGAAAAUGUACUUUAAUUUUUAAUAAUAUUAUGAUAAGCAAGUACCGAAUGGUACUUACUGUGAAGUCCAAGGACAGAGUAAAAGACAAGAUAGUUAAAGGACGACCGGCAGCAAACAGCGGUUACGCACAUGCCUUGUCCUUAGUUCAAUGUUAGUUAAUUGCUCUUUUCCUUUCCUUUUAUUUGCUUUUUAGUUUUUCUCACUUUCAAUUAAUUACGCCCAAUCUUCAAAAAAUAUGAAUAACAAAUCAUUUAAUUAUGCCCAAGGACGACUGCAGCUCACAUUUCAAGAAAUUCGUAAUUAUAUUAUAUAUGUGUUCUUUAUAUUCGUACGAAUUUAGUUAUUAUUGGUGUAGAAUAAUUAAGUGUGGUGUCUUUUAAUUUAAAUGAAUGUUGAGGAAGAGUUAUAAAUAGUUUUAAGUAUUGUUGUAAUGCUAAAGGAAGUACAUAAAAAAAUAAUAAUAGUAGUUUAAUAUAAAUGAAUUUAUAAGUACAGUUUAGAAUUAAUUUUCCAAUCAACAUGUUACUUUUAUUGAUGAGCAUCGAAGAUUUUUGACAUUUAUCAUUCUAAUAUAUUGAGACGGUAUUUUCUUUUUUAGUGUCAAAGUGACAUUUGUUAUUAUUUAUUCCUCGUCUUCAACAAAUUAAAUAUAUGUUCAUCUUAAAGAGACGAUGACAUUUAAAGUAAACUUUUAAUUGUUUUUAGAGUUGAUAAGUACAAAGCAUAAUCACAAACACAUACUCGAAUAAUUAAAAAAAGUAAAACUAAUUAAAUACGAAGCCCAGAAUAAGUGAUUUAAAAUUUUAAAAAAGUAUUAUAAUAAAAAAGUGAAAUAUUUGUGUUUUUAUUUUCAAAAAAGCAAGAGAUGCUUUUACCUUUUGUUUACACCGUUUAUAGCUAAAAAAACUUUUUUAAUAAUAAAAAAUAAGUAGUUGCUUUAAAUAACACUUUGGAUACGGGAGUCCCAAAUUUCACGGUCACGGAGAUACCAAAUUUCAGUGAUAAACUGUUUUUUAAUACAUUGGUUAAUAAAAUAAAAUCCGUAAUGUAAUUGGGGAAUGUGCCGAUGAGCAGUUAAAACACUGUUGACAGUUAACUCUGAUUACCAACUAGCAAGAGGUACACCUAACCUAACUCUAGUAUUAGUAUAGUCGAAGAACCCUUUUUACGGCCACGUUCGGUGCCGUCAGCUCUGUGUCUGAUAGUUAGAACUGCCCAAUCAUUUUUUGACGGGUCAUUACUAACUUUUUAUUACUGAAGUUAAAUAAUAUGGAAAAAAAUAAUAAACAAAAAAAUACAGGUAUUAAGCGAUAUCAUUUAUAAAAAUAUUAUUUUAAUAAAAAUAAAUAAAAAAUACGCCCUUUCACAUGCAUUUUUAUUCUUUAUACUUUUUAAAUAUAUUUAAUAAAAACAAAAUUAUUUAAGAUCAAAUUAUAAAUGAAGCGAUAAAAGUCCCCUUCUUCCAGCCAUUUUUAUGUGUUCUUUUUUUUUCUUUUUGGAUCUAAAUCUAUCUGGUUUAAUUACCACUAAUGAAAGCAAAAUUAAAAGCAGACACGCCACUUCAACUUUCUAUUUAGCUAUCAACUGCAAUCGAUACUUUUCUAUCACAAUGUUCUUUUAUAAUUUCUAACAUAAUGCCAUUAUUAUAAAUAACAUGUUAAUUAAAAGUAAGGCCGGGUGUGAAUUUGAAAAAUAUAUAUAUUCAUUCGACAAUGAGUAUUUAUAUUCAAUUUUAGAAAAUAUUCAAGGUGCAAUUUUGAAAAGUUACUCGCUGGUUAACAGUAACAAAAAGAAGCCACCAAUUGAAAGUUUAAACAGUUUAUUAAUUAUGUGACCGAUUGACUUAAAUUUGUAAGUUUGAACUUAUAAAUUAGUAUUUUUAUUGUUGAAAUCAAUGUAUUCGUAAUCGAUAAUAGUGAUUAUUUAUCUCGUUGUUAGGGGCGUAGUUAUGGAGUUGGCAAGGCCCCGACCUUCCUAAAAUGAAUUUGUUUAUUUAAGUCCUUUAAAUUUUUAUAUUAAUAAAAGUAAAAUUACACUUUAGACCACUUAAAAUGAUAAAAAUUUGAUUUAAUCUUUUAAAAAUUAUAAAGAUAUAGACAAUUAAAAUGAUAAAAUAGUUUUUUUUUACUAUCGUAAAAUUACAAUUUAAUUUCGGCCUCACUAAAAAAAUUUCAUGACUUUACCCCUGCUCGUUACAAGUGUUCUUAAAAAAAUAAACGACUAUCCAUAAAAUAUACUUCAUUCCUAUAAAUGAAGAUUUAACCCAACCACAUUAAUGAAAAUUUUUAAUUUCAUCUAGUUUAAAUGUUAUAGCGGGUAUCUUCUAUCAAUUACUUAAAAAAUUUUCUCUGAUUGAUAAGCUUGACCUUAGAAAUUGGAUAAGGAAAAUUCAAAAUUUGAUAGGUGGAUGUUAUAGAAAAAAAAAAUAAUUUGAAAUCCAGAAAGAAGUUUGCCGUAGAUAGACCGAUAAAUUGAUUUUAUUUGUGGUAAGAGAAGGUUUUUUAAUGAAACAUGAUUAAGGAUUGAAAUGGGUAAUUAACAUAAGCAAAAGUUGUCGUGGUUUGAAGAACUUGAGGUGAAGCUUUUUAAUUAAUUAUUAGUAAUAAUUGAAUGUCUGAUGAAUUGUCAUAUUGACUAAAGAAAAUUUAUGCAAAAAGAAAAAAAGAAGGGGAAAAUAAUGGCGUGCCGUUAAUGGUGCUAAUUGAAUCAACAUCCUUUCUUGUCUUUUUCACUGAGAAAUCCAAUUGCUCUUUUGUUUUCUACUACUAUGCGAUUUUUUAAAAUAAAAUAGUAAAACCUGGCAUUUAUUCAAAAUUCAGCAUACCAAUACCAACGGGAUGAAGAAAUCCCAUACAAUGAAUUACGUGGUAGCCAUUGAUUCUAAAAUGUACAACUGCUUUCGUCAGCCUUCAGAAAUUAAAUUUACUAUGCUUUAUUUGUGUGUUUAUAUUAAUUUUUCCUACCGUAUUUUUCUAAAAUUAAAUUAUCUUCCCUACAUAGCAAACUUGAUAAUGAAGUUCAAUAUUGUUAUUAUUAUUAUUUUGGUAUUUUUUUUCUGACGUAUCCAAGAAGUUAUUCAAAGUAGGAUGAUAUGGAUAUACGUAUGGAGGGAUCAAUUAAACACGCUUCUCUUGCAACCUCUCUUACGCAUUAUGAUGCGCCCACUUAUCAUUAUUAAUAAGAAAAAGCUGAUAAUAUAUACAAAGAAAGUAGAGUAACUGACGGGUAGAAUUUUUAUUUUUAUUUAUUUAAAUGUAAAAUAUUUCAAGGUUUUUUAGCCUGUGUACAUUUAGCAUUAUUAAUGUAGAUCCUCAUAUUUUCGAGUUAUUUUGGGCUUUAAAUAUUUUUGAAUUUAAUUUAAUUAAAAUUUUAAAAAUUAACUCAUAUCUAUAUAAUAUAUAAUAAAUUUAAUUAUAUGUUGGGAUCUGGUUUUUAAUUAACUCAUCAAUUGUACAUGAUUUUAAUUGGUAUAAUAAUAAAUUUAACCCUCAAAAUUUACAUAUUUUGUCAAUUUGGUCUUAAUUUAACAAAUUUAUCUCCCAACAUUUGUGUAAAUGUUGAGGUUAAAUUUGUUAUUUUUUUUUUAGAACAUCAAAGGCUAAAUUUGUAACUAUACCAAUCAAAAUCAUGUACAAUUGAUGGAAGACACUAAUGUCGUGAUUAAUUGUCCUAAGUUGUUCACUUUCGAAAAUGAUAGGGAUUAAUUUGCACCAACUUUAUUUAGGUAUUUUUACCGUAAAAAUACACUUUGUUGCCCCUAAAGAUGAAAUUUUUUCAAUUUAAUCCCUUUAAAUGUCUAAAGCAACAAAUAUAAAAUUAUACUUUAAUCCUUUUAAAAUUUGAUAAUUUAAUUUAAACUCUUUAGCUUUGUCUGUAAAAAAAUGUAGUGUACUGAAAAAAAAGUCUAAUUUUUUUCAUUCACAUACACAUACUUCAAACUCACGGAUUAAGAGCCUUUGAGAACAAUAUCAAAGGUUUACGACAAACUAGUGAUAUUGGGAAUGACCGCAUUACAAAAUAUAAAUUGUACGCAACAGCCCACAAAAAGCAAGGUUUACAAAAACAUUAAGAUAUAAAUGUAUAAUUAAAUUGCAGCCUAGAAUCAGCAUCAUUAAUUGGAUGCCUGAGCACUCUAUCGGUACUUCGAUUAUUCACAUGCUAUGUUUUUUCGUUUAAUUAAUUAUGUAACUCAAAUUUCCCUGAGUUCACACCCCCUUGAUUUUGUAUUGUUCAUAUAUUAAGUCAACCUAAAAUAUAAAAUGUUUCUUUUUCACAACUUGGCUUGGAUGAAUUAUUGAAUUUUGGGUUUUGUUUUUUGGAACUCUACAAUUAAAGUUCUCCCAAACCAAGCUAACAUGUCUUCAUGUGACAAUGAUUAAUGCUCGGUAUAUAUACGUACCACCUAAUCAUUCACCUCUCUCGUGAGAAUAUACCCUUCAUUUCAAGUAACAAUCACCGUCGCCCUUAUUCUUAUAUUGUUUUCACAUUGUUAUUGAUUAUUUGUCCAUUCAAUUUUAGUCAAUUUAAAUGUUUUAAUAUUCGGAGAUUUGCUUUAAAUUACGGUGGGAGGGCAGGCAUGUUAACCAAUACGACUACGUAUCAUGACAUAGUGAUAAUGACUUAGCUGCCAACGAAUUAUUUGCACUAAUCAACUGAAUUUGAUUUGUUGGUCCUUUUGUUCACCGAUCGUAUCUACUGCCAUGUGACUGGGAUCGAUAAGUAGCAGACAAGUUUAAUUUUAAUUUUCUUUUCUUUUUUUAAAUUAAAAGCUAAAUUUGGUAAUUAUUUUUUUAUAAACCAAUUUGAUAAUUAUUAAACGAUAGAGUUAAGAAACUGGGUUAAAAAUUAAAUUAUAAAAUUUAAAUAAUGUUAAAGUAUAACUUUUUCUUUGUAUAUACUUGUUAUUUUUUAAAAAAAUUAAAAAGAUUAAAUUGAAAAUAUUUUUAUCAUUAAAACUUUCUUCUUUCUGUCUGGAUCAAGCCAAAAAUGUAAAAUUGUAAAUAUAUAAAUCUUGGUCAGAGUUCGAAAAUUAAAAUAAUAAAUGAAUUUUUUUAUUAAAAUUAAUAUAAAUCCCAUUUAGUUGUGAAGAUGAAAUUAUUGGGGUCCAUGAUUUGUCAACUGUGAGGAAGAAAAAAAAAAGGUGGGUCUACAAUUCUGCAGCAUUUGAGCCUCGACAUGAACCUAAAACCCCCAAUUAGCUAGGACUAGUCUAUUAUUAGUUCAUAUGAUGAUAAUAUUAUUAUUCUAUAUGCCAUAUAAUUAGUGCUUUAGGGUACUUUCCCAGAUCAAUUCUUCUGGCAGUGUUUGAGACCCCUUUUACUCACUUUCUAAUUGAAAAUGCGGUAAAAAUUAUAAGAUGACUCCACUGUUAAUGCUAUGUGUUAUUCGAUUUUAUGUUUUUAUGCUUCCAUUCCACGCUGGUAAGUUCAUUUUCAACUCUGGCGCAUAUUUCUAUAAUCAAACUUGCUAUUAUAUAGUUUUUUUUAGAGUUUAAAAAUUAUAAGUAAAUAAAAUUGAGCGAGUAAAUUUAAAUCGAUGCAUUAUGAGAUUGGAAACCCAUGCAUGAUAAUCGCACUUGGUGGGGCUGGAAUUUAGCUACUUAAGAACAUGAACAAAUUUAAAUUAUUAAAUUAUAAAUAUAUAUAUAUAUAUAUGAUAAAACUACAUUUUAAUUCCUCAUAAAAUGAAAAAAAUUAUGUUAAGUCUUUUUCAGAAAUGAUAAAAUUAUAAACUAAGGCAUAAUGAAAAUAUAUUUUGACAUCGUAAAAAAUUUAUGAUUCAAUUCCGACUCAUCCUAAAUCAUUUUCUAGAUUGGCCUUUGCUUAGAAACUUGACUUCAAUUUUUACCAAUAAUGUCUCAUUGCUAGGCUUUUGUUCUUUAUUAACUAUUAUAUAUAGAGUGAUAAAUAGUUUUUUAAUCACCACAGAAGGAUUGAAAAUGUGACAAAUGUAUUAUAGUGAAACAUUGAUUGUAGUGUGGAUUCUAAAAAGUUUGAUGUGAAAUAAAUUUCCUUCCCGUUAAAUCACAAUAUUCUCUGGGGAGGUCAAAUAUCAAAGGGUAAACGAAGCAACAGAUAUAAUAAACAGCAGUUAUGUACUAUAAUAUCUUAAUUUCUAGAAAUUUAUCAUUAGCAUGCAAGUGGGUUUUAGAAUAACAUGGAUGAGCAUGCCUUUUUAUCUCAAUCGGCAGUAACCCUUCCCCACCCCUAAAAUCUUGUUAGUACACCAUAUAUUUUUUGUCUAUGUUUUAGUUAUAUGUCAUUUAAACUCCCUCCAUUUGUUCCAUUAUUUAUAAGGCUAUGGAUUAAAAGCAAGAAGUGGUGGGGAAUCCUGCUUAUAUUACAAACAUAUGUGUGAUAUAUAUAAAUUUCCAAUAUGUCAACCGUAGCUUUUAAGGACAAGAACUGCAAAUUUAGUUUCAGCCAUCCAUAAAAAUUUGUACCCAAGGUCCCACCUAAACGCGAUGACUCAAAAAGAAGGUGAAGUGGUGAACCCUAAACCAAUAAAAAUAAUAAUUUAAAAGAAAAAAGAAAGAAAGGAUGAAAUGAAAUGAUCUCAAGGUUGGACUUAAAAAAAAAAUGAAGAAAUUAUUGGCAGAGGCACUAAAGAAGGUAGCAUCUCCCCUAGAUGAAGAAAAAGGUAAUAUGUAUCCAUUCUCUUGCUUCCUCAUUAUGAAGAUUCUUGAAAAAAUAGGCAUGGGUUUUUGUUUUUAGAAGGGAAUAUUGAAAACCUGCUACAAUAAUAUUCUUGAAACAUCAUGUGUGUUGUUUAGUUUGGGAAUAGGGUGUAAAGUCUAAUAUUAUUGUUGAGGGCAAAUUGUUUUGGAGAAAAAAGUUUUUGACGUGUCGUUUGUUGAGUAGUCGAUUGUACAUUUAAAUAGUGAAUGUAUUAUGCUCGGGGUGUUUAUAUUUGAUUUUAACUUUAAAUUUUUAUCUCCCAACUACGAGACUAGUCAAUUGGUAGCAUUUUUAUCGAUAAAUGUCAUUUAAGGGCAUAUAUUCGAACCCUACCAAGGCCAAAUGUUAAAAUAUUUCUUUGGUGGACUAGACGUUCCCACCAAAUUCUGUGAAUUCUUUUAGACUCGUAUUAAAAUUAAAAGACGAACAUCCGAGAUUAAAACCAAACAUAAACAUCCCAAACACAAUACCUGAAUUGGCUACUUCACUGAACCUAACAAUUAUUAUUAUUAGCACUGACUUGAUUCAGCCAUGGCCUUAGAUCUCUCCUUGGGUUUGGUUUGGAUACUUUGAAUCAUCCAAAGUUUAAAAAAAAAGAAAAGAAAAGAAAAGAAAAUGGAAAGCACACAAGUUCCACUUACUCAAGUGCCCAUUCUUGGCAUUUUGUUGCUACUAUUUUCCCUUGCCUCCAACCAGUAAAGGAGAUCGUUGCUACGGCUCCACUAGAUUCUAUGUAUUGCUCUUUCUUGCCCACCUUUAAUCUUCUUAUUUUUGGAUUGGUUUAAAUAUUUUGAGAUUUAAUACCAAGGAUAAGGGUAAGGCUGCCCACCAUACAGACAAAAUACAAUCAUCUAUCCAAAAAUACAAAUCUUCUUCUUUAAUUCACCCU
rnacentral:lncRNA from 1 species